rnacentral:rRNA from 1 species
UACGGGGGGAGCAAGCGUUGUUCGGAUUUACUGGGCGUAAAGGGCGCGUAGGCGGCCACCGCAAGUCAGUUGUGAAAUCUCUGGGCUUAACCCAGAACGGUCAGCUGAUACUGCGGGGCUAGAGUGCAGAAGGGGCAACUGGAAUUCUCGGUGUAGCGGUGAAAUGCGUAGAUAUCGAGAGGAACACCUGCGGCGAAGGCGGGUUGCUGGGCUGACACUGACGCUGAGGAGCGAAAGUGUGGGGAGCGAACAGG